rnacentral:rRNA from 1 species
AAGUCGUAACAAGGUAACCGUAGGUGAACCUGCGGUUGGAUCAUUAAUAAUGAACCACUCUUGGGUCGAGUCUUUGCUAGCUUGCUGGCAUUGAUUCCCCUCGAGUAUUAACCACUGUGCACUGUAUUGUUUUUUGGGGGAAGUGUGAUCAGCCGGUCCUGCGACCAGCGUCCUGCCCCCAGCAUUUCAACCAAUCUAUUUAAUCAACCUGAAUUUUUUCGUAAUGAAAUAAGUACAACUUUAGACAGCGGAUCUCUUGGCUCUCGCAACGAUGAAGAACGCAGCGAAACGCGAUAUGUAAUGUGAAUUGCAUAAUUCCGUGAAUCAUCAAAUCUUUGAACGCACAUUGCACUCUGUUUACGCAGAGUAUGCCUGUUUGAGAAUCUAUAGUAUUCAUUUCCGGUUAUUUUGACCGGGAGAUUUGCUUUGUGUCUGCCCGACUAUUGCUAAAUACAUUACUUGACUGGUGGAAGACGUUUGUACCAACCAUGUCGAAAAGCUAUGAAUGAGACGAAAGUUUCUUUUGGCCGAGUAGGCAAUACGCUGGGAGUCUAUCUGGCAGGUAGAGUUCAUACCUUAUAGGCGCUGGGCAACCAGUGAUCUGAACCAAGGUCUCAAAUCAGGUAGGAAGACCCGCUGAACUUAAGCAUAUCAAUAAGCGGAGGAAAAGAAACUAACAAGGAUUCCCCUAGUAACGGCGAGUGAAGCGGGAACAGCUCAAAUUUGAAAUCUCUCUGUUUUGCAGAGCGAAUUGUAGUUUAAAGAUGCGUUUUCGGAAAGAGUGGCUGGUACAAGUUCAUUGGAACAUGACAUCAUAGAGGGUGAAAAUCCCGUCUUUGACCAGUGACGAAUUCUAUGUGAUACGUAUUCUAAGAGUCGGUUUGCUUGGGAAUGCAGACCAAAAUGGGUGGUAAAUACCAUCUAAAGCUAAAUAUUGGCGAGAGACCGAUAGCGAACAAGUACCGUGAGGGAAAGAUGAAAAGAACUUUGAAAAGAGAGUUAACCAAUACGUGAAAUUGUCUAAAGGGAAACGCUUGAAACCAGUAUUGCGGGCAGAAUUCCAGCUAUGGGUUACUAUGGUGCAUCAUUCUGCCUGCGAGUCAACAUCAGUUUGACUUGGAGUAAAAAGCCUGGGAAAGGUAGCCUCUCGGGGUGUUAUAGUCCUAGGAAAUGCUCUGGGUUAGACUGAGGACUGCAGCCUUUACUUGGAGAACCAGUUGCCUUUGGAAGUGUUUGGGUUAAAUACUUGUAUAUGACUCUAUUCACCAAGAAGAUCGGUUGGGUCAUCACACCAAGGCUUAGGAUGUUGACGAAAUGGUUUUAAGCGACC